UACGUAGGGUGCAAGCGUGUUCGGAAUUACUGGGCGUAAAGGGUUCGUAGGUGGCCAACUUAAGUCAUACGUGAAAUCCCUCAGCUUAACUGGGGAACUGCGUCUGAUACUGGUUGGGCUUGAGUGCAGGAGAGGAACGCGGAAUUCCAGGUGUAGCGGUGAAAUGCGUAGAUAUCUGGAGGAACACCGGUGGCGAAGGCGGCGUUCUGGACUGCAACUGACACUGAGGAACGAAAGCCAGGGGAGCAAAACGGG
rnacentral:rRNA from 1 species